GGCAUGCUUUACACAUGCAAGUCGAACGGUAACAGGCCGCAAGGUGCUGACGAGUGGCGAACGGGUGAGUAAUGCAUCGGAACGUGCCCAGUCUGGGGGAUAACGCAGCGAAAGCUGCGCUAAUACCGCAUACGAUCUAUGGAUGAAAGCGGGGGACCGUAAGGCCUCGCGCGAUUGGAGCGGCCGAUGUCAGAUUAGGUAGUUGGUGGGGUAAAGGCUCACCAAGCCAACGAUCUGUAGCUGGUCUGAGAGGACGACCAGCCACACUGGGGACUGAGACACGGCCCAGACUCCUACGGGAGGCAGCAGUGGGGGAAUUUUUGGACAAUGGGCGCAAGCCUGAUCCAGCAAUGCCGCGUGCAGGAAGAAGGCCUUCGGGUUGUAAACUGCUUCUGUACGGAACGAAAAGGCUCUGGUUAAUACCUGGGGCACAUGACGGUACCGUAAGAAUAAGCACCGGCUAACUACGUG
rnacentral:rRNA from 1 species